GCGGGGAUGGAGCAAAAGUUGGCUCGACGGUCUCAUAAGCCGUAAAUCAGUGAGUGCAAUUCUCACCCCUGCG
rnacentral:tRNA from 1 species